AUUGAACGCUGGCGGCAGGCCUAACACAUGCAAGUCGAGCGGAGCGGCGGACGGGUGAGUAAUGCCUAGGAAUCUGCCUGGUAGUGGGGGAUAACGUCCGGAAACGUGCGCUAAUACCGCAUACUAUCAGAUCAGCCUAGGUCGGAUUAGCUAGUUGGUGGGGUAAAGGCCUACCAAGGCGACGAUCCGUAACUGGUCUGAGAGGAUGAUCCGUCACACUGGAACUGAGACACGGUCCAGACUCCUACGGGAGGCAGCAGUGGGGAAUAUUGGACAAUGGGCGAAAGCCUGAUCCAGCCAUGCCGCGUGAGUGAAGAAGGUCUUCGGAUUGUAAAGCACUUUAAGUUGGGAAGCGUUACCAACAGAAUAAGCACCGGCUAACUUCGUGCCAGAAGCCGCGGUAAUUC
rnacentral:rRNA from 1 species